CGACUCUUGCGGUCAUUCAUCAUAACACCAACACCAGUAGCUGCACGAACUUUACCGCAGAGAUUUGUCUUUCCAGACUUACAAAAUUUACAUUCUCUGCAUUCUGCUUGGUAACAAGGUAUAACAUGAUCUCCAGGUUGAACUUCAGUCACUCCUUCACCAACACUCUCAACAAUCCCUGCAGCCUCAUGGCCAAGGAUGCAAGGAAAGAGACCCUCAGGAUCGACUCUUGCGGUCAUUCAUCAUAACACCAACACCAGUAGCUGCACGAACUUUACCGCAGAGAUUUGUCUUUCCAGACUUACAAAAUUUACAUUCUCUGCAUUCUGCUUGGUAACAAGGUAUAACAUGAUCUCCAGGUUGAACUUCAGUCACUCCUUCACCAACACUCUCAACAAUCCCUGCAGCCUCAUGGCCAAGGAUGCAAGGAAAGAGACCCUCAGGAUUGUCAAUUAAUUUGCA
rnacentral:lncRNA from 1 species